UAUGGCUUCGGAUCUCCCGGUUUCCCUGGCUCUGCUGCUUCUCAGUGGGUGACCUUGGGCAGACUCCUUAACAUCUGAACUUCAUUUCCUCAUCUGUAAAAUGGGGUCAAGGUUGAUACCUAUCUCAAGAGUUAAUGGGAGGAUUCUAUGAGCCGGUACAUGGGAAGGGCUUAGAACGGAACCUGGCACUUAGCCACUGUCUUUGUCCCUGGCUGGUUGUUUUUGCCUGGUUGGUCGUCAACUUCCCCUUGAAAGGGACCAUGAUUUAUUUCUGACCUGGCUCAGUCCCUGGCACAUCAUUGGUACUGCUCAACAUCGGCGGAGCACCCGACUGAGGGGCCCAGUUCUUCUUGCAGGGAACCUGUUCUUGCAGGGCGCUCUGCUUGCCUUGUUUUGAAUUUGAUGAUGAGGACUUUUCCCAACCCGCCUGAGCCUGCCUAGAGUCUUGGAGGAAAGGAAGCUUGAGAGUUGCCUGGUGUCCCCAGCCCCAAGACCUGGAACCGUGAACAUUUGUGGCCGGGUGAAUGGAUCAAGAGAGCGGAUCAGGAGCUGUGGAAGAUGGUCACCCUUGUGCACUUAAGAACCUGGAUCCUGGAGCCACACUGUCCUGGAUGGGGGUUGGCCCUGCUGCUCUGCCAUUCCUUAGCUAAGGACAAGUUAUAUCAGCUUUCUGUGCCUCAGUCUGCGGCUCUGUGAGAUGCAGGGUGGAGGCCUGGAGAUGCUGAUGACUGCUUGCCACCACAGAGGGACAGUUUGUCUGAGAAUAAAGCCCCAAAGAAGGAAGUCAAAAGGAGAGGGGUCCCUGAGGACAUUCUUGGAGAACCUGGAUUCCUGCCUGAAACCCCUGGACGUGCAUUUCGUUUGAGUCGGGCCCUUGUCACGUACCCUGGAAGCACUCCUGCGGGGGGCUGAUCUCACCCCAGCAUUUCGCACGUGAGCCCAUGGCUGGGUACUAAGGAUAUGGAAUGUCUUUGGGACUGGGGUCACCUGGAGAUGUCACAAUGUGCCAGUCGUGAGAGGCAGCAGUGGGAGCCCUAAAUGGCGAAUGCUGGGGUGUCACGCAAUUCUAACCAGGUGGGUGACGGGGCAGCCAAUCACCAGGAGGGGGAGGCACCCAGAUGGGGGAAGGCCCCUUUCCUUACUCCUUUUCCUUGGGAGACCCUGACGACGGAGAGACAGGAAAACAGGAGGAAGCUUGGCUCCCAGAUAAGGGUAGGGAUAGCAGGGUGCAAGCAGGAGUUAGAGGAAACUUCCAGAAAUCUUUACUGCCCUAGGAGAGCCGGGGGAAGAACCCUUUUUCAUGCAACUGAAGAGCAGGUGGAAACCCCCAGGAGCUUGUAGUGGCUCCAGCUUCUCCAUUCAUCAGCCAGAGUAAGUUCCAAAGCGGGUCAAGCGGGACAGUGGACACUGUCCCUUUUGCUCUCACAGGGGGCACUGGCAGGGAAAUAGGCGAAGGCUGGAAACCGAGCGGCCUCUGUACAGCGGCAUCAGCCUUCCUGGGCAUGGGGCCAGAGUUCCCGGGAUCUGGAAUCGGUCUCCUCAGCUGAGGGGCCUCAGGUUCAGGGCUCUGCUUCGGGGACCUGCCCGACCUGGACAAGAGGGCCUGCGGCGGGAGUUCUACUUGGUCGCCCAAUGCCAUGGCCAUCAGGGAGUGUCUGAGACUCGGUGGGCUGGCUGUCCGUGCCAGGUGCUUGGGCAGUGCUAGUCUAAGGCUCGACCCACACAUGGGGGGACCUUGGGGCUGGGAGCACGGUCCGUCUAGACAACCCGCCUGGAACACCAGGGAGGGGGGCCGUGGUCCAUGGAGGAGUCUCUUCAGAUGCUUCUUGUGCAGCUCUAAAGGGAUGGUGACAGCACCCGGGAUGCCCACAGUACCCUCUAUGCCUGGCAAACAGCAAGCACUCCACAAAGGCUUUUGAAUGUCAAUGCCAAAGGAUCCUGGGGGGAUCUAGACCAGCUGAAUACCCUGGGAAGAUCCGCAUGCUGGGUCACCUCAUUGGAAAUGGUGCACAUGAACUUCACAUCCAACUUAAAGAAGUUUUUCCCUAAUACUACACUUGCCCUCAGAAUGGCCUCUCUUAUUCACUUCUCACUCAUCCUUUUGCCGUGGGGGUCAUUACAGAUGACAUAUGGCCACAGAGGAAGCAAGCAAUUUGCCAAAAGUCACACAGCACCCUGAUCGUGGGAGUGGGACUAACCCUUAAGUGCCCCACUUCUUGGCUCAGUCCCCCUGAAGGCAGCGUGGGUGGGGGCUGAGCUGGACGCAGACAUUGGGCAUUUCAUCCCUUGGUGUGACCUCAGAAGCAGCGGCUGGUUUAAUGAACCAAACCAGAUUAAUCCAAUAACCCAGAUGACAGGGGCAGUGUUUUCAGUUAGGGGACCUUUGCAGCUUUCUGAGUCUCCCUGCAGGCGCACAUCCCCUAACGUCCUCGUCUUUUCCUUGAAGCUGGUCUCGUGAUCCUCUGCUUGACAAUGCUGGAGCAGUUCCUGAGGCUGCGAGAAAUCUCAACAACGCUGUAGACCUUUCAGAAACUCCUGUCCAGAUGUCCCCUGCAGCCCUUGGGUUGCUUGAAACCAAGGGGAUUUGCUCCUCUGCGCAUGUGGUGCUGGGCAGGGGAGCCAAGGGUUGCAGAGAUCAGCACUUUGCUGUGUUGCAGAAGCGCUCUGGUGGUCGCUGCAGGGGCAGGGUCUAAGGGGCUCACUGGGGAGGAGGGUGGUGUGCCCACUGCCUUGCUGGGUUUCUGGGUUAUUCCUUCCAAGCAUCUCAUGGUAUUAGUUCCAUACUGGACAGUGGCUGGCCUGCUCCCAGCCCUGGUCAUUGUCCACACCAAGGCCUGCAGACCCAACUCAGUCUCAUGGCAGGGGUUUCCAACCUGGUCAUGUUAGAGGAGGAAAGAGGCCCAGGAUGCACAUACCACUAGUUCAAGGCCACGUAGAGAGUAUAGCCAAUCCAUGUUCACUAAGGUGGAAGCAUCUUGGAGUCAGAAAAUCUGCAAUGUCAGAGGAGGAGGAAGAUCCCCCAGCUCCAGGGAAACCACUGCCCAAACCAGAAUCAAAGCUGAGACCUGAGUCCGGGUGUUCCCACUUGCAGACAAUUUUCACAUUCCUGCUAAUUCUCGAAGUGGAUGCCACCCCUCUCACCUUGCCCAGAAGCUAGGGCAGCUAAGGAAGCAGGGGAGGGGGAUUGCAGAGAGAUGACCCAGCUCGCCUCACUCCUCAAGGCCCCGAGCAAGACAACCUAGAGCCUUUAUCCCCCGCUGUGGCUGCAAGGGCGGAGAGGGUCCCUCUCGGGGGAUGCUGCAGCAUGGCAGGGCGGGGCACAGAGAGCGGGGCACCAUGUCCUGUGGGCCUGCCUGUUCCCCCUUCACACCAGUGGCACUCUGCUGAGAUCCCCCCACCAACCUCAGUUACACACUGUCCCCCUCUUGACUCGUCAUGAGGCUGGGACUUGUGCCAGAGCCACAAGGCUCCCCGUUGGUGACUUUAAGGUCUCUCUGUGGAGGGAUGUCUGUAGGACUUCACACCAGACCCCUGGGAGCCACCCUGGGUGAGGAAUUUGAUGAGAGACUCCUUGGUGAGGUUGAGACCCAUCUUCUGGGGGGAGUCUGUGGGAGUGGCUGUGAUUGACACCAGUCACGAGGGACUUUGAGGCUGGGGAACACCAAUCCAUGGCUAUCCCAUGGUGGGCCUAUUUCCCCCAAAUAAAUCAUGCCUCCUAGCCCAAACUGCCAUGUCCAAAUGCACUACAACUAAGAACCAGUUUGCAAAGCAGGCCCCCCCCCCACCCUCCACAGUGGUUAGAGAGGGACCCACUGUCCCGGGUUGUAGUGCACUUGGAGAUGCCUCUCUAGCUGCUCAGCCCAGGGGAUGGAGUUCACUUCCUCCAACUCCUGCAAGUGUGUAGAUCAUUUCAGGUGCUGCCUUAGCUUCUUCACUGAUCCCUGUCAGCACGUCUGUCCUUUUUGAACUAUUUCUGCACAGAUUGAAGCUUCAGUCUAAUAUUUUGGCUCACAGAUAACCUCCCUUGGUGCCGCCCAACACCUCUUCUUAGACAGGAAGUCACAAAUGAUCAGCAAACCAGUAUUGAAAUGUACAGAGGGAGCUUCACCCAAAGAAAAGGCCCUCAAGCAACUCUUUUGCAAAAGCUCUCUUGGGAGAGCUGUUUCUCCAGUUGGCUUGGAAGUGGGGUCCUAGAGUGUCACCAUGGAGACAAGAGCCUAUCCCACAGCAUAGACACAGGAGGCCUCUCCGUGCCUAGAUGCAGAUGAUGAGGAAACUGAGGCCCAGGCAUCGGGCAGGGACUGGCCUGUACUUACAAAGAUGUCGAAUGGAAACCUUGCUACAGGACUUCAUAGGGGUGGGUGGGAGCCACCUACCUGACCCAUUAAACGGCCAAGAAGAUUGAAAAUCAGAGAGGGAGGGUGAGAAUGCUGGGUCACCCAGCAGAUGAGUAAUGGAACCUGAGAUUCUGGCUGUGUGAAGAGUCAAGGGGAUAAAAGGUGGAAAUGUGCUUGGUAAACUGAAAGAAGUGCCCACAGAAGCAAAAACUAACAGGCAUUAUUCAAAUAUAAAUAAAAAAUAAACAACAUCAUUAUGUAAAUAAAACAUAACCUCAGUCAAAGAAAUCAUACAACUCUAUAUCUCCUGUUGUUCUCCAAAUGUGCUCCAUUAAGAUCCUAAAGUCACCACUUGGAGGAAAAAAUGCGCCAAUUUCUGGACUAAAUGAACUCCCCUCAGUCCAUUCCUAUUGUACAGUGGCUUCAUCCCUGGGUUUCUUCUUAAUAGCACUUAGGAAAAAUGCACUCAAGUACAUAUUUGUUCUUAUCUUUUAUUACUAAAUGAGUAUUACUUUAUGUCAUAGUAAGAAUAAUCAUUAAAAUACUUGGCAUAAUAAAUACCUGAAAGACAUUUUAUUUUAUGAAUGUAUUUUUCUUUCUUGCCAUAAUGGGGACAUUAUGAAUCAUACAUUUGUAUUAAUGACAUUUCUUAAAACAAAGCAAUGUAUGUAUGCAACUGUAAACUAAACAAAUCUACAAACUAUUGUAGGCAUCUGGAAAUUCUGUUGUAGGUUCUUUGUUGGAGUGUUUUAAUCAGUAGAUUCUGUUGUGAAUGCAUUUGUACAUUGUUAGGAUACUUUUAAAGAUGUUUAGUUGGAUAAAUGUCUUUGUUGGAGUGAUAGCUUGGAAGUUGCACAACUUUUUAUUUGUACAAAACUCUAUUGUUUAAAAAAAAAAAUCACUUCUUGUGUAACUGUU